AACGAACGCUGGCGGCAUGCCUAACACAUGCAAGUCGAACGAGACCUUCGGGUCUAGUGGCGCACGGGUGCGUAACGCGUGGGAACCUGCCCUUAGGUUCGGAAUAACUCCCCGAAAGGGGUGCUAAUACCGGAUAAUGUCUUCGGACCAAAGAUUUAUGGCCUUUGGAUGGGCCCGCGUUGGAUUAGCUAGUUGGUAGGGUAAAAGCCUACCAAGGCGACGAUCCAUAGCUGGUCUGAGAGGAUGAUCAGCCACACUGGGACUGAGACACGGCCCAGACUCCUACGGGAGGCAGCAGUGGGGAAUAUUGGACGAUGGGCGAAAGCCUGAUCCAGCAAUGCCGCGUGAGUGAUGAAGGCCUUAGGGUUGUAAAGCUCUUUUACCCGGGAUGAUAAUGACAGUACCGGGAGAAUAAGCACCGGCUAACUCCGUG
rnacentral:rRNA from 1 species